UGCCGGACACUGCGCAACAGACGGUUACGAACCUCGUCAGGUCCGGAAGGAAGCAGCGAUAAGAAAUGCGGUCUGUGUCGCGGCUGAUCUCGGCAAGU
rnacentral:SRP_RNA from 1 species